rnacentral:lncRNA from 1 species
GAAACUACUCUUUUAACUGAUAUCCUGGUGUUAAUCAAAAGUAUGAACUUACUGAAUCAGAAUCUCUGGGCAAGGGUCCAAGGAAUCUACAUUUUUAUUAAACGCCCUUGGGGGAUUCUUAUGUACACUGAACCCAAGAGCCUCCACAUGCUACCUAAACUAUACCAUGCGUAAUGCAAGGCUGAAAAAGCUUCCAAAGUGACAAAGAAUACAAUUCCUGCUUCUGAUCCCCAGCCAGCCAUCGAGUGUCGGACACAUGCAUGAAACUCUUGAGUGUUGGUGUUCAUGCUCUGCACCCCCAUGAAAUUUCCAGGACGGGUGCAAAGUGCUCCCUUUUCCCCACUUUGGUGAAGGGAUCUGCCGUGCCCUAAAAACCUGGUUACCAACCUCCUCUUUCCAGCAUUUCCUCCCGAGGGAAGUGGGACUCUUUCAAGUCCUCCUUCUUCGGGCCUCAUUGCAGCAACCAAGGUGUUGCAUAAUAGGGCUUUCUCUUCAGAUGUCCCCAUGGGAUUUCACAGUGGCUCCUAAGACGAAGGCUGGGCACGUGCAGGGCAGGCGGCAUGGGGUGAUGAGGGAGGGAUGCCAGUGACACAGAAGUAUCCCUGUUCUCUUAAAAAGGCUGCAUGUGGAAUGUGAAUGCAGGCCAGAAUCACACAGCCCUCACCUUGUUGGAAAAUGGGAACUCACCUUCAAAUAGGACUCGGAGGAGAAAACAGAAACUCCACAGAGAGAACAAGGGGAUUCUCCAUGUUUUACAGAAAUGUUGGCAGUUAAAACUGUGUGUAUCGCUCUCUCUCUUUUUUAUUAAAAGUUUAAAAAGUUGGUCUUUUUUGCUAUCUUACAUUCAAUUCAAUAUUUUUCAGCCCAGACCUCAGAAAUGAGCAGUAGAACCUGAAAAUGAAGCUUAGGCCCUUGGAGAUGGUAAUUAAUCACCCACAGCCUUGGAAGAUAGAGAAACCACAGACUCGUGGAAACUCAGGAAUUAUUUUAACACUUCUCCAGCCUGGUAUGUGUAUCUUUGAGCACAAAUGGUUAUCAAAAUUCUAAACUCCUGUAUAUAAUACUUUGUUCUGUGUGCGCCUCGAGAGGUUUUGUAAUUCUUUAAAAAGCACACAGAAUUACCAUCUUAGAAUUACAAGGUUUUGAAGAAACCUACCUGAAAAGAUCAGAGGCGUGAGCUACAGACUGUUAAGACAGGAGUGCCCAACUGGUGGCCUGUGGUUGCUUCAAGCUGGUUUGCUUUUUAUUUCGGCCUGUGGCCUUGAUGAAAUACUUGAAAUCAUUGCCAUUUUUUCUUUAUUAUUAUACUUUAAGUUCUAGGGUACAUGUGCACAACGUGCAGGUUACAUAUGUAUACAUGUGCCAUGUUGGUGUGCUGC